UCCUCAGUAGCUCAAUGGCGGAGCAACCGGCUGUUAACCGGUAGGCUGUUGGUUCGAGUCCAACCUGGGGAG
rnacentral:tRNA from 5 species